ACACCUAACCCUAUAUGGUGUCAGAUAUGGAAGUUAUCUUGUCCGGCUAAAGUCAAAAUCUUUUUAUGGCAGACACUACAUGGCACUCUCCCAUGUCGGGCAACACUCACUAAUAGACACAUGAAGGUCUCGCCCUCUUGCCCUACCUGCUCUCAGGGUGUAGAAGAUACGAAGCACAUGCUUUUCCUAUGUAGUAAAGCGAAGGAGGUUUGGAAAAGGCUUGGGAUGGAUAUGAUUAUUGAUAAAGCUUGUGAGAUUGAUCGUGCUUGAGAGGCGACAUUGGAAUACCUAUUACUCCUUCUAGAUCAAGAUCUGCACAUUAUGGGGUACCAAAAUGUUCGAGAAAUGAUAUCUAUCUCAGCUUGCUAUCUAUGGUGGGAAAGAUGGAAAUUAGUGCACAAGGAAUUAACUCAAAAUGCGACUCAGAUAUCAAGGGCGAUAGCUCUUACAUAUAAUUUUGUAAAUGCAUCAUCUUCAAAGGCGUCCAUGAAAAAGGGGGGUUGGUAAUGUCCUCCUAGGGGCCUUGUGAAACUCAAUGUUGACGCCUCUUUUGACCAUGACAUGUUGGAGGGUACAAUGGGGGCAGUCUUGAGAGACGACAAAGGUAGGUUUAUUGCAGGAUGAAAUGGAAAGAUAGACUACUGCGCGGAUGUUCUCAUGGCGGAGGCCUUAGCUCUCAAAUUUGGCCUAAAUUUAGCACAAAGGGCGGGAUGUAAUCGCCUAAUCAUCAACUCUGACAAUCUGGAGGUGAUUGAGACCAUGCAAGAAGGAGGACAGUCAUCGGGAGCGGCGGCAGCACUUUUAUCAUGA
rnacentral:rRNA from 1 species